rnacentral:rRNA from 1 species
CCUACGGGGUGCAGCAGUGGGGAAUAUUGCGCAAUGGGCGAAAGCCUGACGCAGCGACGCCGCGUGAGGGAUGAAGGUCUUCGGAUCGUAAACCCCUGUCAGCGGGGAAGAACGGUCACUGUGCUAAUCAGCAGUGAAUUGACGGGACCUGCAAAGGAAGCACCGGCUAACUCCGUGCCAGCAGCCUCGGUAAUACGGAGGGUGCGUGCGUUAAUCGGAAUUACUGGGCGUAAAGCGCUCGUAGGGGGGAUGUCAAGUCAAGGGGGAAAUACCCGCGCUCAACGUGGGAACUGCCUUUGAAACUGGCAAACUGGAGUGUGUGAGAGGAUAGUGGAAUUACAGGUGUAGGAGUGAAAUCCGUAGAUAUCUGGAGGAACAUCAGUGGCGAAGGCGACUAUCUGGCACAUAACUGACGCUGAGGAGCGAAAGCGUGGGUAGCAAACAGGAUUAGAUACCCUAGUAGUC